rnacentral:rRNA from 1 species
CUUGCCUACGGGGGGCAGCAGUCGAGAAUCAUUCACAAUGGGGGAAACCCUGAUGGUGCGACGCCGCGUGGGGGAAUGAAGGUCUUCGGAUUGUAAACCCCUGUCAUGUGGGAGCAAAUUAAAAAGAUAGUACCACAAGAGGAAGAGACGGCUAACUCUGUGCAUGCAGCCGCGGUAAUACAGAGGUCUCAAGCGUUGUUCGGAAUCACUGGGCGUAAAGAGUGCGUAGGCUGUUUCGUAAGUCGUGUGCGAAAGGCGCGGGCUCAACCAGCGGACGGCACAGGAUACUGCGAGAC